AUGCGCAUAUGCCUCCUUCUCUGGAGGGGCUGUGUUUAUUAGAUACAAAACCAACCCACUAUGUGGAGUCCUGGUGAUUCAUAGUAACCGAACGGAUCGCAUUUGGCUUCGGCCCGCGAUAUUUCUUUCAAGUUUCUGACCUAUCAGCUUUCGACGGUAGGGUAUUGGCCUACCGUGGCAGUGACGGGUAACGGGGAAUUAGGGUUCGAUUCCGGAGAGGGAGCCUGAGAAACGGCUACCACAUCUAAGGAAGGCAGCAGGCGCGCAAAUUACCCAAUGAAAACAGUUUCGAGGUAGUGACGAGAAAUAACAAUACAGGGCAUUUUAUGCUCUGUAAUUGGAAUGAUGGGAAUGUAAAACCCUUCCAGAGUAACAAUUGGAGGGCAAGUCUGGUGCCAGCAGCCGCGGUAAUUCCAGCUCCAAUAGUGUAUAUUAGAGUUGUUGCAGUUAAAAAGCUCGUAGUUGGAUUUCUGCUGUGGUCAUCCGGUACCGCCCGUAUGGGUGCGCACCUGGUUUGGCUCCGGCUUUCUUCCUGUAGCCGUCCGCGCUUAAUUGCGUGUACUGUGUUACGGAACUUUUACUUUGAGAAAAAUAGAGUGUUUCAAGCAGGCUUGUCGCCCUGAAUACUUCAGCAUGGAAUAAUAGGAUAGGACCUUGGUUCUAU
rnacentral:rRNA from 1 species